rnacentral:rRNA from 1 species
AUUGAACGCUGGCGGCAGGCCUAACACAUGCAAGUCGAGCGAGCGGCGGACGGGUGAGUAAUGUAUGGGGACUGCCCGAUAGAGGGGGAUAACUACUGGAAACGGUGGCUAAUCCCGCAUACUAUCGGCUACCCCAUAUGGGAUUAGCUAGUAGGUGGGGUAAAGGCUCACCUAGGCGACGAUCCCUAGCUGGUGUGAGAGGAUGAUCAGCCACACGGGGACUGAGACACGGCCCAGACUCCAACGGAGGCAGCAGUGGGGAAUAGUGAACAAUGGGAGCAAGCCUGUUGCAGCCAUGCCGCGUGUAGGAAGAAGGCCUUAGGGUUGUAAAGUACUUUCAGCGGGGAGGCGUUACCCGCAGAAGAAGCACCGGCUAACUCCGUGCCAGCAGCCGCGGUAAUAC